rnacentral:rRNA from 1 species
AUACGUAUGGAGCAAGCGUUAUCCGGAUUUACUGGGUGUAAAGGGAGCGUAGACGGCAUAGCAAGUCUGAAGUGAAAUCCCAUGGCUUAACCAUGGAACUGCUUUGGAAACUGCCAGGCUAGAGUGCAGGAGAGGUAAGCGGAAUUCCUAGUGUAGCGGUGAAAUGCGUAGAUAUUAGGAGGAACACCAGUGGCGAAGGCGGCUUACUGGACUGUAACUGACGUUGAGGCUCGAAAGCGUGGGGAGCAAACAGGAUUAGAUACCCUGGUAGUCCACGCUGUAAACGAUGAUUACUAGGUGUUGGGGACCAAAGGUCCUCGGUGCCGCCGCAAACGCAUUAAGCAAUCCACCUGGGGAGUACGUUCGAAAGAAUGAAACUUAAAGGAAUUGACGGG